CGAGCUGGUCCGAUUCAGAACUGCGGAUAGUACGGCCCUCGCGGGAGCGGGCGCCGGAGCGCCGGGGCCGCGUCCCCGGGCCCGGGCCGGGCCGCGCGCUCUCCCCCCUUCCUCCCGCCCCGAGCGGGGCUCUGCACCUGCGGCGGCCGCCGUCUGGCUCCAGCCCCCGCGCUGCCCCCGGGGGCGAGGGGCCCGCGCCGAGACCAUCUGGAAACGGGCCGUGCACAGCAUCGUCCGUGCAGAGACAUCGCACUUUCAUCCCACAACGAGUCGAGGGGCGUGGAAAGCCGGUCUUGCACAGACACAAGACACGUGAACUUGGCCGCCGCACGUUCCCGGGCUUCCCCCUGGCCGCCGCCGCUGCCCUCACUGCCACGGGCCGUGCCGCUCCCCAGAUGACCUGAGGUUGACGCAUCCGUGUCCCACGAUGGUCCCACCGCAGGGAUAUUGGCAAGAUCGCCGGCCAGUACGUCAAGGAACCAGAAGGUGAUUUGAUCUGCACCUCUGACGACGGUCCCGCAAACGCUGGAGAGAGAGAGAGGGCUCGUCUCCGUAGAGGAGCUCGCUGCGCCUGCGACGUGGGCUGGGCUCAGCUCCGGAAGCUGGGAUGUUGGAGAACACGCCACCGGGGACCCACCCUGUUUCAGACCUGGACGCAGAAGUGUAACUUGUCACAGUGGGAACCACUUGCAGAGGUUUGGGCGAAAUGCCGUCUCGGACUCCUCGCUGCCCAGGAAUCCACCCGCAGAAGGGAGGCGCCGCACCCGCCGCCAGGUGGGGGCUGGCGUCACGUGACCCGGUCCCGCGCUGGGGAGGCGCUGCGAUGCCGGAGACGCACUCGCCGCCCGCCGCAGGUCUGCGAGGUGCCUCUCCCCGUGUGACGUGUUCCUGCCGCCUGGGAGGGCGACCGCCUGCCGAGACUGAGCAUCCAGCCGCCGGGGGCGCCCGCGUGGAAGUCCGCAGCCCUCGCACGGCUCCCCAGAAAGCCAGGAAGAAGUCUAAAUCCGAAAGCAAAGGAACACCGAACUAUUUUUCUGGUAGACAAACCCUCGCAACAUUAAAAAAAAAUCUGGAGAGUUGAUGGAUGUGUAAGAACGCGAUGAUACACUAGUCUCAUUCUGUGCCGAGCCAGUGGCGUGGUGUUUGCUUUAAAAGAUAACUUAGGGCAUGAGCUCAGGGACGAGAAACGGUUUUGACAGGGGAUCAGACGGAGCCGUCCCGAGCCCGCCAGAGUCCCCAAGGCUGCGUUGCUGCUUUAGGUAAUGGGGGAGGGGGGCUCCGGAGCUCGGGGGGUGGGGAGCCAUUGCACCUUUUGAGUAGAGACACCACACCUGACCCCCAGAGAGCUGCCCGCCCACCCGCCAGUCAGUCAGCCAGCCCACCCGCCAGGUAAGAGAGGGCACGGCCGGCCGCCGGACUCCCUGGGGACAUGAUGAUGCUGCGUUUCUUUCUUUCUUGGUUUAAGAUAUAUUUCUAGGCACUUCGGAAAAGAAAUCUAACUUUGCCUAGAUUCGAGACCUAAGUCUCUCCGUUACAUAAUGGGUUUCAUGCUGUCCGUGGCAGAAUACGCAUUAUGGAGGAUUCAGGGGAAAGAUGAACGAGUGUCCGUGGGGGGUGGUUUUAGGACCCGCAUGUCAUGCGGGAGAUUGAGGACGGGCGAGGGGGCGGAACCCGGCCAGCGAGCGGCGCUCCCGUCCGCGGACUCGGCCCGCUGCUGCUGCGUUGAGCUGUUGGCUUGGCGCGGCCCGGGAGAACAGCGCCUUGGAAACUGCUGCGAAUCUCCCACACGGAAACCUUCGCCCACUGGGUGGUCCCAGUUCGUUCGGAUGCGCUCUGGAGAACCAAAGUGUCCACUCAGCUUGUGAUACAGUAAAUCGCGGAUACACGAAGGACAGUAAGAUACGCGAACACUACCGGUGGUGCCAGGAUCUUCCUAAAAGCGACCUUCGUGUUGGACCUGCAAAGUUUCUUAAAAAAAAAAAAAGCAAACAAAACAAAACCCUCCUCCAUUAGAAUAAACUCUUACGUAUUGGGGGCACUGUACAGUUUUUCAACAAACAGUACACGCAUGCCGAUGUCCAAGAACAAACCCCGCCAAGAUGGCUAGAAUGUAGAUUUCCAAAUCUUUCCAGAAAAUACAAUUUCCUUGUAAAAUCGUAA